AAGAAAAGCUAUCAGCAGGUGCAUUUGGCACAUCACACACAAAUGAGUGGGCUGCAAUACUAGUGCUGGAGUAGCAGCCAAAAGUUGUCACAGGGAAUGAUCACAAGACUCAGCACUGGGUGGUCCAGCAUGGUCCUGAAGUGGGAGAUGGCUUAAUACACUGGAAUAGUCAUCCUGUUGUGACAAGACAGGAGUGUGGCUUGGAAAAGCGAACUUGAGACCAUCUUAGUUUUGUUGCUAAUGCUUGCAGUUGGGUUUUAUUCCUCAUUAAGCUGUUAGACUGUUUUGAUCUUUAUUUCAACAAGGCCAAGCUGUUACAUCUUAAUCAUAUGCACUGCACUUAGAGUUUGUAUUCCUCUUCUAAGAACUGAAUGAGUUACAUCUUGCCUGGUUGAUAUCUCUGGGCAAAUUCCAUGCAGAAGGCAUUGGGCAGCCACACCCAGGGCCAGAAUUUUCUCCAAAACACCAGGGGUUGGUUUUUUCCAGUGUUACACACACAGAUGCAAAGCACAAACCCAUUUUUAUUUGCAGUUCCCAAGAAGGUUUGGACCUGGACAUGUGGGUAGGAAAUCAAUCUAAAAUUAGACUUACCUAACCUGACCUUGUAAUUAAGCUCGAUAUCUAAGCAUCCGUGGGAAUAAUCCCCAGGCCUGAAGUUAUUGCCUGUUGUGAGCUGGGCUGUUUCCCUGUCUGAGGUUAGUACUGUAUUGUUCUCUGAAGGGCUGUGUGAGUCACACCUCACGUGAGUAGUUUUAUCUCUCUAAUUAGUCUACAUAUGGAGAGGGUUAAAAAAGGGUACAGAAAAGGACAAAGACAAAACCAUAUCGGGGGUCCCUGUAAACUUGUGAGGCUAUCCAUAUGAUUUCCUAGUUGGGAAAUCAAGCACUUCAAACUUCUUUCAUCUAAGCUACAACAGUGAAAUGUCUCUUCCAUAUGUCAGUAGUAUAAUCUACAUAAUGAACAAGAUUUCACAGAUGGACGGGCUGAUGCAAUGGACAUUCUUUUCAUAUAUUGCUUUUCACUUUUAUCAUUUUCUUCAGUUUCCCACAAGAUGGGAUGAAUAUUGGCAAUUACUGAGCUAUUAUUUUCUAUGUUGUGCAACUAAUAGAAGUGUUAUAAUUCAGCAAGGUGAGAUCUUGUUCCAGAACAAUCAGUGGCACAAAAUAGCUAAAGAAAAAGAAGGCAGACAUUAAAAAGAGAAGAUACCACCGCCCUUUCCUCUCCUCCAAAAAAAAAAUCCCGAAGCCGCUUUAGAAUGUGUGUGCCCUCUUCAAAACAAAUAAAACAAACCCCACACAUUUCAUACUUUACUUUUUGACCAA